UACGUAGGCAGCGAGCGUUGUUCGGAGUUACUGGGCGUAAAGGGUGUGUAGGCGGUUGUUUAAGUUUGGUGUGAAAUCUCCCGGCUCAACUGGGAGGGUGCGCCGAAUACUGAAUGACUCGAGUGCGGGAGAGGAGAGUGGAAUUCCUGGUGUAGCGGUGAAAUGCGUAGAUAUCAGGAGGAACACCGGCGGUGUAGACGGCUCUCUGGACCGUAACUGACGCUGAGACACGAAAGCCAGGGGAGCGAACGGG
rnacentral:rRNA from 1 species